GUACUCCAUGGCGACUGCGAACAAAGGCUCUACGGGCGCGGGGGAGGCGCAGUGGUACAGCCUCCCGGUGGACCCACGGCGAGUCCCCGGGUUCGCGAGGCGUAGCCCGCCCCCCCCCCCCAAGGCCGUGCCGGGAUUCCCGUGUCGCGGUGUUUUCGUCUUCCCCGGACAUGGAGGGGUUCCUGGAGAAAGAAGGGGAGGGGGAGGCCGCCAUCUUGCUUCUGGGGGCUGCUAGGUUCUCUUGCAAGAGUUUUCCAGUGUGUAGCCUGCAACGUGGUUUGUCGCAGAUCAAGUCCGAGUUGGUGGAUUGGUCGCUUGUCCUGGUUGGAGGGUCUCGGUAGCUGACCGAGUGGAGAACUGGCCUCAGCAUAUGGGCUUCGGGUUCCUUUUGGAGUAGACCCUUCGACACUAGAUUUGGCACUGAGAUAAGGCGACGGCUCCGUAACACACUAAUGUCUUAAAUUAGUAGUUAAACUGAAUCGGUUGUUUUCUUUAAAACUGCCCACAAGUUCGAGAUAGUUUGCCUAGUGUCUGUUAGCGGCCACACGUUCUUCCCUGGACUUUAAAAUUCUCAUUUCCUUUGGCCCCAAAUGAAGAACCAACGGCUUGGUUGGUUGGCAUGACUACUUAAAGGAAUGAAUGUACACUCAAUCAAGUUUGCAGUCUAGAAACCUAGUACUUGGCGUUUGGAAGUAUGAAUGGAGGGAAGACUUGAUAACUUUACUAACAAUAGGUUAGAGUUUUAAACUUAAGUAUGAUCUUUUUUCCAGUACAAAAAGACGAUGGUAAAUGUGGAUCCAAAUAAAGGGAGUCCCCGCAGAACAGGGAUCAGUGGUUCAUGGAGAAGGCUGAGUGCCACUUAUCUGUCUUAAAAGUUCUACAAGAGCUGAUGAGAAAGAUGAGGCUACAGAAGGAGACAGGAGUCAAGUCAUGGCUGGCUUUUGUGUCUAUUAAAUUCUGGAAGUAGAAUGGCUGGAUACAUCAAAUUUUAAGCAGUUUAUAAAUGGAGGACCGAUUAAUGGGGGAGUUGGGCAGUAUAGCAAACAUAGAGUAGACAGUGAACUAUUGCAGAAGAGGAAAGAGAAAGGUAUUUUUAAUAGUGCCAGUAACCAACCAAAAGAUGAUUCCCAGAUGAUGAAGCCAUAUAAGCAUCAUAAGCCAAAUAAGAAUUGUUUGCUGGGCAGCUGGAGGGUAAGAGAAUUGGAAGUCAAUGUUUUGUUUUUGGAAAGAUGCAGGAUAAAAGUGUACUUUGUGUAUGUGGUUUUGUCCUGGCCAUGUAACUGGGGGGUGACCUUGAACUUCAGACUCACCUAACUCCAUCUCCCAAGUGCUGGUAAUAGAGACUUGCACCAUCAAGUCUGGUUUUGCUGGGGCUAGAACCCUGAGUUUCAUACCUAGCCACCAAACACUCUUGCUCCUAGAGCUAUAGCUCGAUUGCGGAAAGGUGUACUUUACUGAAGAGGCGAAGAAGGAUGGACAUAGGUUACAGGAAAAGGGUUUCUUUAGUCUGAAGUGAAAUGGUGUUAUCUAGUGGUAGUUGCUGUGUGCUGGGUUCCAAGUUCUGGAGUGGGCAGGACGAGCUGAAGUUAGAUAUGCCAUAGGUUUAUAUUGCCACUUUCAAGCAGAUGCAGUCUCACUUCAUUGAGCACAAUUUCAAAACUUUUUCUCCUUUCUGCUUUACUUAAGAGAAAAUUUUAAAAUACUGUAUUAAUCUCACUGUCCAUAGCCAUUCUAAUAUUAUUCUAGUACCUAGUGGUCUACAUGAAGAUAUGAACAAAUAACUGAUGUGUGGAGGUCUCAAGAGGCAGGGGGAACUGAAAUCCAAAACACAGAUUGAAAAAUGGCCUCUUACUGUAAAAAAGAAAAAAAGGCCUAAACAAUGAAUAUGGUCAAUAAGUUAGCUUCAUUAUAUUCAGAAACUUGUAUCCUUAAUUUUUGAGUGAAUUCUUACAAUAAACUAUGUAAUAUGUUACAAAGAAGAAAGCAAC
rnacentral:lncRNA from 1 species